CCUACGGGAGGCUGCAGUGGGGGAUAUUGCACAAUGGGGGGAACCCUGAUGCAGCGACGCCGCGUGGGUGAAGAAGCGCCUCGGCGCGUAAAGCCCUGUCAGCAGGGAAGAAAAUGACGGUACCUGAAGAAGAAGCCCCGGCUAACUACGUGCCAGCAGCCGCGGUAAUACGUAGGGGGCAAGCGUUAUCCGGAUUUACUGGGUGUAAAGGGGGCGCAGACGGCGAUGCAAGCCAGGAGUGAAAGCCCGGGGCCCAACCCCGGGACUGCUCGUGGAACUGCGUGGCGGGAGUGCAGGAGGGGCAGGCGGAAGUCCGGGGGGAGCGGGGAAAUGCGGAGAUAGCAGGAGGAACACCGGUGGCGAAGGCGGCCGGCUGGACUGCAACUGACGUGGAGGCCCGAAAGCGUGGGGAGCAAACAGGAUUAGAUACCCUUGUAGUC
rnacentral:rRNA from 1 species